rnacentral:rRNA from 1 species
AUUGAACGCUGGCGGCAGGCCUAACACAUGCAAGUCGAACGAGUGGCGGACGGGUGAGUAAUGUCUGGGAAACUGCCCGAUGGAGGGGGAUAACUACUGGAAACGGUAGCUAAUACCGCAUACCAUCGGAUGUGCCCAGAUGGGAUUAGCUUGUAGGUGAGGUAACGGCUCACCUAGGCGACGAUCCCUAGCUGGUCUGAGAGGAUGACCAGCCACAUGGGUACGUAGAAGCGGGUGAGACUCUUCCGGGAGGCAGCAGUGGGGAAUAGUGCACAAUGGGCGCAAGCCUGAUGUAGUCAUUCCGCGUGUAUGAAGAAGGCCUUCGGGUUGUAAAGUACUUUCAGCGGGGAGGCGUUACCCGCAGAAGAAUCACCGGCUAACUCCUUGCCAGCCGCCGCGGUAAUGC